CCGUAUCAACGUCAGUCGCUUAGCCCUGAAAGUCAAUCAAGGAGGUCUAGGCUUACCCCAGCUAAAAGAUUAAUGGAACGCUUGUAUGUAAUCACAUAUUUUUAUACUCAAUCUGAUCAUGUCAAAGAGGAAAUGUGGUAUAAAAUUGAAAUGUGUUUGACAAAAUCUAGUGAUAUUAUUAAAGAAUUGGGAUUAAUAUUGUGGCGGACAAAGAGGCAAAAAAGAAAAGAAAUAACGUAUAGAGAUCUUUUAAA